rnacentral:rRNA from 1 species
AACGAACGCUGGCUGCAUGCCUAACACAUGCAAGUCGAACGAGAUCCUUCGGGGUCUUUUGGCGCACGGGUGCGGACCGCGUGGGAAUCUGCUCUCAGGUACCCAAUAUCCGUUAGACAUGACUGCUAAUACCCGAAGAUCACGCUAAUACCAAAGAUUUAGCGUCGGCGGAUGAGCCCGCGUAGGAUUAGCUAGUUGGUGUGGUAAAGGCGCGCCAAGGCGACGAUCCGUGGCUGGUCUGAGAGGAUGAACAGCCACACUGGGACUGAGACACGGAGCAGAGACGAACGGGAGGCAGCGGUGGGGAGUAUUAGACAGUGAGGGCGAGCGCAGUAUGGCAGUGCCGCGUGAGUGAUGCAGGUUUUAGGCGUGUAAAGCGCUGUUAACCGAGAGGCUAUUGCAGGUACCGGGUGAAUAAGCACCGGCUAACUCCGUG